rnacentral:tRNA from 1 species
UAUAUAAUAAGCUAAGAUUAAGCUAAUAGGUUCAUACCCUAUCGAUAAAUUAAUAAAUUUUUAUAUAA